GCGACGCCGUCGUGUAUGAAUGACGCCCUUCGGUUGUAACUUCUUCAGCAGGGAGGAGCAAAGUGACGUACUGUCAGAAGUAGCGCUGGCUAACUACUUGCAGCAGCGCGUAAUACGUAGGGCGCGAGCGUUGUCCGGAAUUAUUGGGCGUAAAGAAGCUCGUAGGCCGCUUGUCGCGUUGGGUUGUGAAAGCCCGGGGCUUAACCCCGGGUCUGCAGUCGAUACGGGCAGGCUAGAGUUCGGUAGGGGAGAUCGGAAUUCCUGGUGUAGCGGUGAAAUGCGCAGAUAUCAGGAGGAACACCGGUGGCGAAGGCGGAUCUCUGGGCCGAUACUGACGCUGAGGAGCGAAAGCGUGGGGAGCGAACAGGAUUAGAUACCCUGGUAGUCCACGCCGUAAACGGUGGGCACUAGGUGUGGGCGACAUUCCACGUCGUCCGUGCCGCAGCUAACGCAUUAAGUGCCCCGCCUGGGGAGUACGGCCGCAAGGCUAAAACUCAAAGGAAUUGACGGGGGCCCGCACAAGCGGCGGAGCAUGUGGCUUAAUUCGACGCAACGCGAAGAACCUUACCAAGGCUUGACAUACACCGGAAAGCAUUAGAGAUAGUGCCCCCCUUGUGGUCGGUGUACAGGUGGUGCAUGGCUGUCGUCAGCUCGUGUCGUGAGAUGUUGGGUUAAGUCCCGCAACGAGCGCAACCCUUGUCCCGUGUUGCCAGCAGGCCCUUGUGGUGCUGGGGACUCACGGGAGACCGCCGGGGUCAACUCGGAGGAAGGUGGGGACGACGUCAAGUCAUCAUGCCCCUUAUGUCUUGGGCUGCACACGUGCUACAAUGGCCGGUACAAUGAGCUGCGAUACCGCGAGGUGGAGCGAAUCUCAAAAAGCCGGUCUCAGUUCGGAUUGGGGUCUGCAACUCGACCCCAUGAAGUCGGAGUCGCUAGUAAUCGCAGAUCAGCAUUGCUGCGGUGAAUACGUUCCCGGGCCUUGUACACACCGCCCGUCACGUCACGAAAGUCGGUAACACCCGAAGCCGGUGGCCCAACCCCUUGUGGGAGGGAGCUUCGAAGUGA
rnacentral:rRNA from 1 species